rnacentral:sRNA from 1 species
AGAAUUUCUUGCAAGGAGAAGAGGAAUUCACUAGAGUCAGUGAAUAAAGAAGAUGGCACAAGCUGAUCAAACCAAAGAACUUUUACAAUAAACUCAUUGUGAGGGAGUUGUAUGCAAAUGCCUACACUUUAAAAUAGAAACAUGAAAAAGGAGAGCAUGUUGAGUUAGAGGAAAGAGAGUUAGUUCAAUAUGAUAGGACACUAUAAGAGAAUUCUUAAGAGUUGGUGGAGCAACAUCAAAGGAAGAAAAAAGAGAAUUCCAAAAUCUAAUGAAAGAUGUGACUUCUGAAAGGCUCACGGUCC